rnacentral:lncRNA from 1 species
UUUUUUUUUUUUUUUGUUUUUUUUGCCUUUUCUUGAGCCACUCCCGUGGCAUGUGGAGGUUCCCAGGCUAGGGGGCCAAUCGGAGCUGUAGCCACCCGCCUUCGCCACAGCGACAGCAAUGCUGGAUCUGAGCCGAGUCUGCGACCCACACCACAGCUCACGGCAACGCCGUAUCCUUAACCCACUGGGCAAGGCCAGGGAUCGAACUCGAAACCUCAUGGUUACUAGUCAGAUUCGUUAACCACUGCGCCAUGACAGGAACUCCCACUAGUUUUGUAUUCUUAACCUGUUAAGCUACAACGGGAACUCCCUGGAUGCUCUUCUAAAGUGCAAGGGGAGUCAGAGAAGCUUUUAAGCAGAGGGGUGAAAGGACCUGCGUUAAUUGUAAAAUUCAGGGAGGUGCAAACUCCCAGAGAAGGUGAGGGGAGGUGGAGCCCAGGGCAUUCUGGCCCCUGAGGGGAGAGACAUCCUUUACUGAGACAGCAGUGAGGGUCCCCCUUGGGAACCUGGUGGCAGGUUUCGCAAGGGGAGGGGCUUUCUUUGAACCGUUUACUUUUUGUCCUCUGGGAAGAGUGAGGCGCCUGGCUCCCAGGCUGAAACGGGGGUGGGAGGAGGUUAACGAGGAGAAAAUGUUGAGGCCCAUUUUCUGCAGGGCUCACCUCCCCUGCUCAGCUCCUGUUUGAAUUUUGUCCGGUGGCGUGAAUCUAAAUUAUAACUAAUCAGUUCAUUUAAAGUGAUUUUCUCUGGCCAGCUUUUAGCUGCCCCAGUGCUGGCAGACAGAAGUGAAAUAAUUGAGUUCAAUCAGACUGGGGUUUUGCCAGGAGAGCACAGCCCUGAAACGGAGGAAAGAGGAAAGGGCUGGGGGGUGACGUGGGGUGGGGGGAGCUGCAGGAGGGGCGUGAUCUGUAGGCCCCAGAAUCAGGAUGCUGGCUGACAUCCUACGGGCAGCAGGUGGCAUGUCUGCAUGUUCAGGGUGUAGGAGGAUGUGCGCCUCAGAGGGAGUCAGGCUUUGGGGACGGUCCUUCCCUUUGGGGGGAUUUAUGCUCCACAACUGAAAAUUCACGUAUUUCCACACCAUCCUCUUUCCACUCCCUUUCAUCCACUAGAAGAGUAGUAAAAAAAUACGUGCUUGAACCAGCCCAGCACGCCCUGCUGAAUCGCAAAAGCCUAUUUUUCCCAUCCAAAUGUUUUCUGAACUUCCAGAUGAGAGAGUGGUUUAAUAGCCGUGGAGCAAGGAGAUAGCUCAUAAGAAGCUAGACUUUGGGGACAUUUAUUUAUCUAAUUAUAUAUUUCAUAGGUAUUAUGUUAAUACGUUCUUACUUUUAUAAGGUUUAAGCUGUACAGAGCAAACCAUGGUAAAUUAAAAUUUCCAGACGUGAGUCAAGGUUUAUCGUGCGUUAAUGAAAGCUCUUUCCUUGCUGGAGGGUAAAGGGAGGGAGCCAGUCCAUACACCCCGGGAGAGACCUACCUUGCUGAGCCAGACACAGACCUCUUCUUCCUCUGGAACCAUCAUCAGACAUGCUCAUUAAUCACAAAUAUCAAGUCACGGAGCUGAGAAGUAAAGGAUAACAAAUCGAUUUGGGGCUAUGAAUUGCAUGUUCCAAGCACCAAGGCUUCUUCUCUGCCAAGGACCCACUCACGGAGGUGGGGGGCGGUCAACGCACAGAGGCCCACGGCCUCAAAACUCUCAGGAAAGGUCUCCAGCUUGCCCUCAAAGAUGCUGAGCAUACAGUUUGCUUCCAUCUCAGUUUUGGGCAGAAAAAUUUCUUCCACAUGUGAAAGCCAGCCUUUCUUGGCUCAGUGCUCACCCCCCUUCCCCACAGAUAACCACUGUUAACACCUUGACCUCUUUUUUUUUCCCUUUUUUGUGUGUGUGCUAUUUGAGGGCUGCACCUGUGGCAUAUGGAUGUUCCCAGGCUAGGGGUCGAAUCGGAACUGUAGCUGCCUACACCACAGCCACAGCAAUGAGGGGUCCCAGCUGCGUCUGCGACCUAUAUCACAGCUUGUGACGAUGCCAGAUCCUUAACCCACUGAGCGAGGCCGGGGAUCGAACCUGUGUCCUCAUGAAUCCUAGUUGGGUUCACUAACUAUAGAGCCGCAAAGUGAACUCCAUUCACCUCUAUUUCUAAUGUCCUCCUUGUCCUUUGUGUCCUUUGUGUAGGAGGGUGUAUAAAUACAAGUGAUAUCACAGUAUACCAAUUAUUAUUACUGUUUUUAGGGCUGUACCUGUGGAAGUUCCUGGGCUAAGGGUUGAACUGGAGCCGCAUCUACUGCUUACACCACAACCACAGCAACACUGGAUCUGAGCUGCAUCUGCCACCUACGCCGCAGCUUGAGGCAACACUGGAUCCCUAACGCACUGAGUGAGGCCAGGGAUCAGACCCUCAUUCUCAUGGAUACUAGUCGGGUUCUUAACCAGCUAAGUCACAGCAGGAACUCCUGCAAAUUAUUUUCUUCAACUUGACUUGACUUGAUGAUAUGUCUCGAACAUCUUUUGGUACUAGUCCAUGAAAGUCCAUGGCCUGAUUUUAAUGUUUGGGGAGAAUUCUGUUGUUCCAUAAUUUAUUUAGCUGCUCUCCUAUUGACGUACGUUUAUGAAUCCACUCCUCACCCCCGUACGGUUUUGCUAUUACAAACCAGGCUCCAACAGUAUCGUUGUAUGUAUAUCUUUUGCACAUAGGCCAGGAUUUCUUGAGGCUGGG